rnacentral:misc_RNA from 1 species
CGCAGCCGCGGUAAUUCCAGCUCCAAUAGCGUAUAUUAAAGUUGUUGCAGUUAAAAAGCUCGUAGUUGAAUUUCGGGAUCAGUUGGUCGGUCGUGCCUCGGUACGUACUGGUCAAAUUGAUUCCUACCUUCUGACGAACCACGAUGUCAUUAAUUUGGUGUCGCGGGAAAUCAGGACUGUUACUUUGAAAAAUUAGAGUGUUUAAAGCAGGCUCGCGCUUGAAUACAUUAGCAUGGAAUAAUGAAAUAGGACGUUUGAUUCUAUUUUGUUGGUUUCUAGGAUCGACGUAAUGAUUAAUAGGGAUAGUUGGGGGCAUUAGUAUUCAAUUGUCAGAGGUGAAAUUCUUGGAUUUAUUGAAGACUAACUACUGCGAAAGCAUUUGCCAAGGAUGUUUUCAUUAAUCAAGAACGAAAGUUAGGGGAUCGAAGACGAUCAGAUACCGUCGUAGUCUUAACCAUAAACUAUGCCGACUAGGGAUCGGAUGAUGUUAAUUUUUUAAUGACUCAUUCGGCGCCUUACG